rnacentral:misc_RNA from 1 species
CUUUCUGGUGUGGCUUGGAUUUGGGGGAUUUUGCGGGCUUUGAAUGCAAGUCGGCUCCCUUGAAAAGGAUUGGUGGUAUCUGAGCCAUACUAUGGGUGUGAUAAAUUAUCUAUGCCUUGUCGUGUGCCAGAGGAUGCCCCUUAUCAAAGUGUCGCGAUAGAUUUGACCUCAAAUCAGGUAGGACUACCCGCUGAACUUAG